UCAAUUCCGUAGUGCAUUGCAGUGCAUCCUGCCUCCUGCAAGCAGUGCGGAAGUGAGG
rnacentral:pre_miRNA from 1 species